rnacentral:lncRNA from 1 species
UAAUAUUCAAAGCCAAAUUUAAUUCCCAAGAUGUGACUUGGAUUCAUUUUGAAAAUAAAUCAAAACCAAAAGAGAAUUAUUCAAAAACAGGUUUGCAUUUUAUUUGGAAGGAAACUAAGUUUAAUAAGUCCAAAUAAUAUUCUUGACCCUUUUCCAUAAAAUGAAUUUGGAACACUUUUGGUUUGAAACCAAAAUUCAAAUUCAAAUAGGAAAUAUAGGUGCAAGAAUUAUAUGUCAAUUUUCUCCUAACAAAAAGUUCACAUGUUCUUAAACAUUCCAAUUAUAAUUUAGAGAUUUUUCUUUGUUUCAAGAAAAUUCAAAUUCAAAUUCUAUUUGAAUUUACGAAUAGUCACAAAAAGAAAAAGGAAAGGAAACUAAAACAUGAAAGAACACAACAAACCAGCUGAUCCAACGAGUCACACCGAGGCCCGACUAGCUAGCCUAGCGAGGCCAACCCGACGCCCCAAUCUCUCUCUCCCACUACAACGAGGGCCCCACCAGUCAGCUUCGUCUCUCUCCCCCAAUCAGUACAUGCGCACGCACACAUGCACGACACGAGCCCCACAUCACCCACGUCCACCACCCCAUGCGGCCACCAUGAGAGAACGGCCAUGCCGCAAUGUCCUUCAAGUAGAGGAGGACCCCCAUUCCACUUCCCCUAUGUUUUUCGAAAGGCUGCUGUGAAUCAAGCUCGACAUCGUCGGUGCUCCCCUUGCCAUUGCCGGCAAGACUCCAUCCACCACAACCCUCCUAAGCCACGUCUUUGACACUUGUAUAUCCGCCACACGCAAGAGAACCCUAUGGACAUACUCUGUGACUCUAGGGACCCUUGGAACCCCGAAUAUGUAGGAUGCCGAACCUCUUCGCCGCCAUGCCAUGUUUUCCAGCAAGGUGAGCACGCACUAGACUUGCUCACCAUGUCCCUUGACUUUCCCGUGUUCGCGUACACCUCCUGAUCCUUUUAGUUCAUAUAGAGCUGCAUUGGAACGCUGCCCGCGUCACCACCCGAGGAGCUUCGGCAUUGCCGCAUCUUCGGCAAGCCUCUUGUCGUCGUUCCCGUCAUCCGAGAGGCUCGCCGACGCCACCAUCAUCCUCGCCGUGUUGCCCCAUGCUCGUCUAUGCUCUCUGCCAUCAUCGCCAACCACUAGGGUGUCGGAUCCAUCGAGUCCCGAAACGAUGCUUUUUUCUGUGCGUUUCUCGCGAAGAUCUGGGGAAAACUCUAGUGAGCCACCUGAAACCUUAACCCCAAUAUAAUAAUG